rnacentral:lncRNA from 1 species
GUAGCUCUCGUUUUUCAUUCAUAUCUUUCAAUUUCACCAUUUUGCAUUAAAUACAACCUAACAAGUAUAAUUAACACAUGAUUAAACUAUAACUCAUUUAAAUCACUAACAAAUACUUCAAUUUACUAGCUUGGAUGAAAGUACAAAAUACACUUAUCACUGGUACAAAGAGCUCUCCUCUUUGUAGUGUUAAGACUUCUGAAGGUCGCCCCCCAGGGCACAUUCCAACUGGCAAAGAUGAGGGCACUUCAAGAUUGACAGAUCAGAGGUCGUGAGUGUGAUUCCUGAAAAGCUCUUGGAAGGCAGAUAUUCUUCUGGAAAGCAGGAUUUAUCCAAGAAGGCAGCAGUUCUACUAGAAGGUAAGGUGCAAAGAUGGAAAACGACUUGUUUGGCACUUUGACAGAUCAGUUUGGGGCACAACCUGCGGUUUAACCUGUCUACAGCUUGAAAGACCAAGAUGUAAACUCCAAGAUUUAAUCACCGUAAAGUGAAUAUCUGAAUAUCAGAAAAAAUAAAAUAAAUAAAUAAAUACUUCUGAGGGCCUUUUAAUAGGUUUCUCAACUAUGGGUGGUCCAUUCUGUUAAAGCACAACUCAAGAGUCAAGCUAUGGGUUCAAGUAAUGGGCCAAUUUGUAUCCCUCGGGCCAGGCUACAGACUUUGGGCCUUGUCCGUAUUCUCCCAGGUACCUGGCCACAAUAUACUAUUUACAAGAUUGGGCCUGGGUUGAACUUUACGAUUGGGUUGGGCCACUUAACUCUUUUUUUUUGUUGUAACAUCCUCUAUUAAAAUAGUUUUAAAGGCUUAGGGGGUGUUUGGUAAGGCUUUUAAGUCAAUUAAAAAUAAUUUUUUGAUCGUUAUUUUACUAUUCUAGCCAUCAUUUUUGAAUUCUUCUCACACAAAUUGAACCCAUUUUUACAUUUAGUUGACAAAAAAUCAAUUCUCAAAAUUCCUACCAAACACCCUCUUAAUAUGUCUCAAUUUAUCUCACUUCUGUCAAAAAAUAUAAUUUGCCCUUUCAUGAAUGGACAAUGCAAUUUCUUGAGAAUUUUAAAAAAAAUAAAAAAUAAAAAAAAUUAAUAAAUAAAAAAAAAAAUUAUAUAUAUAUAUAUAUAUUCUCUUUAAUUUUAGGUUUAACUGGUAAUGUAUGCAAAUGCUUCUUGAAAUACUGAAACAGAGACUGGUAUUGAUAAUUGAAUUGUAUAACAGAAGCCAAAGAAGAACAUCUGCGACUCCAUUUUCAUUUCUUAGGUUCGUAAUAUUGAGAAAAUUAAAGCAACAAAUUCCGAUUCAAUGCAAACUUUAUUUCAAAAACAAUAUCCCUUGUGAUUUGAAAUUGCAAAACCAAGAUCAAUAACAAAAACCACUGCAUAAACAGAAGAAUAAUCCCUACCAACGAUUAAUUAAUAAUGAACAAUUUUUAAAAGCAUUUUCGAAAAAAUCAAAUUUAGGAAAAGAAAAAUAUGAGAUGGAAUAAGUAGACAAAUUGAAUGAACAUUUCAUUUCAUCUGUGGAAAACCCAUCUCUACGGUUGUCUGGCCGCUGCUUAAUUUUCCCUGGAGUUUCUCUGAUUACAGUGAAAAUCCAAGAAAAAUAAAGCUUUUUCUUUAUGCACUGAUGCGAUAUAGUGAGCACCCAAAAUCGUCUCACCCAUAAUAUACCAACAAAUGCAAAACUAACUCCAAACUCCUAAAUAUACAGAUUCAUACGAAUGUGCUUUGUAAACACGAGGGGAGCUCAUAUCAAGUGUAAAUUUAAAAAGGUAGUCAUAGUGGGAAAGAUCCAGAUCGAAGAAAGAAAAGAGAAUACAAAAGAGAUGAAAUUGAUUUGGGGCAAAUUCACAAGCUGCCAUAAGCCAGCCCUUGCAACAAACAAGGGGGCGGCAAGUUUCGAUUCGUCCCCGAAUCUUAAUAUAUCCAUCUCUAUCUCCAAUCUUCUCUCCAAACUUCGACAAGAGAAAACCCCACUCAAUCCUCUCUCUUUGUAAUCACAGCCCCAUUUAUCUCAAUAUUUUUAUCAAAAGUAAUUAAAGAAAGAUGUGAAAAAUAGACUACAGACUUCGGCUGCAGAAUUUUUAGGGUUACAGUAGAAAUAGG